GAUGAACGCUAGCGGGAGGCUUAACACAUGCAAGUCGAGGGGCAUCACGAGGUAGCAAUACUUUGGUGGCGACCGGCGCACGGGUGAGUAACACGUAUGCAACCUACCCUGUACAGGGGGAUAACCCGGAGAAAUUCGGACUAAUAUCCCAUGCAAUUAUUGGAGGGCAUCCUUUGAUAAUUAAAGCUCAGGCGGUAUAGGAUGGGCAUGCGGAACAUUAGCUAGUUGGUAGGGUAACGGCCUACCAAGGCUACGAUGUUUAGGGGACCUGAGAGGGUUAUCCCCCACACUGGUACUGAGACACGGACCAGACUCCUACGGGAGGCAGCAGUGAGGAAUAUUGGUCAAUGGGCGAGAGCCUGAACCAGCCAAGUCGCGUGAAGGAAGAAGGUUCUAUGGAUUGUAAACUUCUUUUGCAGGGGAAUAAAGGACGGUACGUGUACUGUUUUGUAUGUACCUUGCGAAUAAGGAUCGGCUAACUCCGUG
rnacentral:rRNA from 1 species